UUAAGAUUGCUCGCAAAACUCACCUGAACUUCCAAGUGGGAAACACAUGAAGGCGAUAGCCAAGCAACUUCCUACCCUGUUUUUUCUUUGGUACCUGCAUUGCACUCCUGGUUACAGCAGACCAAGGGCCUGUUAUUUUGGACCAGAAUAUGGCAAGUGCACGCAUAAAAACGAAUCACGCCUUUAUUACGACAAUAAAUUGCGUGCGUGUAAAUAUUUUACCUACGGUAGAUGUGGCGGAAAUGGCAAUAAUUUCAGAAGUAUCCAAUUAUGCGCUCGUCGAUGUGCACAUUACCAGAUUUCCAGGGACUUAUGUCAAAGAACGCCAGGGUACACUGUUUGCCUAUUCAGCAAUGAUUGGGAAUGGAUGUGGUAUUACAGCGCGACUGAUCAGAAGUGUUACCAGUUUAGACAUGGGAAGUGCGGCUCCCUCUAUAUGAACGUAUUCCCAACUUGUGAGGAAUGUGUCGAAAGAUGCAAACAUCACAUGUAUUACCUGCAAGAAUGUCCUGCGCGACAUCGAAGCCAUAACAGAACAUCAGGUGCCGC